rnacentral:rRNA from 1 species
UUUAUAUUGAGUUUGAUGAUGGCUCUGAUUGAACGCUAUCCAAGUGCUUGACACAUGCUAAUCGAACGUCUAAUUUAUUAGAAAUAAUUUAGUUAGAAGUGGUGUACAGGUGAGUAAAAGAUAUUAUGGCUACCUUGGAGUAAGGGACAUUAAAAUCCCUUAUAUCAUACAAAAAAUUUUGUAUUAAAAGAAAAUUAUUUUCGCUCCUAGAUGGAAAUUAAUAUCUCGGGCAGGUAGUAGUUAAGGUAAUGGCUUAACUAGCUUAUGUCCGUAGUCGAGACUGAGAGGUCGAUCGACCACAUUGGGUCUGAAAAAACCCCAAUACGUAUAGUACAGCAGUGAGGAAUAUUGGUCAAUGGCCUAACGGCUGAACCAGCAACUUGGGGGAAUGGAUAUAUAUAUUAGAGAUAAUAUAUAGUACCGACUAUGUCGGAUAAAGUUCUAGAUAGAAAAAUGAUAAUGACAAUUUUCUAUCUAUAUGUCUUGACCAAAUCUUGUGCCAGCAGUCGCGGCAACACAAGGGAGACUAGUGUUAUUCAUCUUUAUUAGGUUUAAAGGGUACCUAGACGGUAUAUCAAGCCCCAAAAGGGAACGGAUAUACUAGAGUUUUAUGUGAGAGGCAAAUAUAGUACUAUUGGUGUAGAGAUAAAAUUCAUUGAUACCUCUAGGCACGGGUAACGGCGAAGGCGAUCCUCUAUGUAAAAACUGACGUUGAGGGACGAAGGCUUGGGGAGCGAAUAGGAUUAGAUACCCUAGUAGUCCAGGCAGACAAUUAUGAAUGUCAUAGAUUAGAAAGAAAGCAUGAGACCCUUGAAUCUAUAAGGUUCCAGGUUACCUAUAUAGGUUCACUAUGAUUUUUUGAUCUAUAAAUGAAAGUGUAAGCAUUCCACCUCAAGAGUAAUGUGGCAACGCAGGAACUGAAAUCAUUAGACCGUUUCUGAAACCAGUAGUGAAGUAUGUGUGCGACAAGAAGCGGAUAUUAGUAAUGUGGUGCGAUUCCACUAGGUAUUCUCUACCUAACACUACCUACACAUGCAGGAUAGUAAUUGAAUGUGUGAAGCUGUAGGAACAAUGUAGCCUGUCUUAGAUGACAAUGUAGAUAUAUUAUAAAAAGUAUAAUAAUAUCUUUUAAUUCGAUGAUCCUCGAAAAACCUUACCACAAUUUGAAUGUUAAUUAAUAAAUUAACACAGGCGUUGCAUGGCUGUCUUCAGUUAAUGUCGUGAGAUUUGGUUAGAUCCAAAAAAUUAUCGUAAACCCUUGUUCUUUAUUUGUUUGAAUAAUGCAGUUAACCGCUAUAUUGGAUUAUAUAACAGGGACUAAGACAAGUCAUCAUGGCCUUAACAUUGGUGCGAGCUUGAGCGGUGUGAACUCGAAAGAUUCACGCACCGUUCUGAUGGGGGGAAAGCCUGAGAGGGCCUACCUAUCCAAAUUGGGCUAUAGACGUGCCACAUAUGCCUUUACAAAGGGAUGCAAAAGUGUGAACUUGAGCUAACCCCUAAAACAGGAUAAAAUAUUAAUUGUAGUCUGAAACUCGACUACAUGAAAAAGGAAUUACUAGUAAUCGUGUGUAAUCACAGCACGGUGAAUUUAAUCUCAACCACUCGUCAGGCGCUGAAAGGGGUAUGUGCAAUAAGUUUGGUUAUUGUUAAUUUUUAAUAUAGGUAAUUGGACUUAUAUUUAUUAACGAAUAAUCUUCGUAUGCGUGACCCUGAUUGGUGUUAAGUCGAAAUACGGUUCGAGUAGGGGAACUUGCUCGGG